AUGAGACCAGGCAGCAAGCCUGGUAAGCUAUCUCAAAAAAAAGAAGCAAAGAAGGAUGAGAAUCAACAAUCAAAGAGGAUAGAGGCGCAUGAAAUCCAAAAAAAGGAGGGAGAGAGCCAAUCUGAGGUCAAGAUACAAAAAGGAAGCCGAAGAGAGCUCCUCUCCAGAGGGGAGGGCCGGGGGAGUGAGAUCCGGUGUCAAGAUACCGAAAAGAGGCCCGAGAGAGACUGCGGUGGGCGCAGCGGCGGCGGUGGAGUGUCCAGGCCCUGGUCCAGGGAAAGGACGAGGUCGGGAUGUGGAUAUACAUGCGAAAGAGAGCUGCGAGGUACGACCGACGGGGCAAGGCUGGAGGAACUAGCGACGCGGCUCCUAGACCACGCAUGCUGUUGGUUUUUUUUCAUGGAGCGUGCACACACGUUCUUUUUCUGUUUUUAA
rnacentral:rRNA from 1 species